rnacentral:lncRNA from 1 species
ACGCUGCUGCUUCUGUUCCGCCGGCCCGCGCCUCCUCCGUUCACGCCGCGACGCUACCGCUGUCCUGAUCUUCCCGCUCGCUGCACCAUCGCCGACCUGCAGCUUCUACCCGAGCCAAGUGAUCCACAGCCGUGCCUCCGUUUCCGUCGCCCUUGCCCCGUGAAGACGCUUCUGCCCCGUCUCGCCUGAAGCCAGCAACGCCGCGUGACCCAACGCUCCUGACCCGUUGCUGCCAGAGCUUCCCC